rnacentral:rRNA from 1 species
CCUACGGGAGGCUGCAGUGAGGAAUAUUGGUCAAUGGGCGCGAGCCUGAACCAGCCAAGUCGCGUGAGGGAUGAAGGUUCUAUGGAUCGUAAACCUCUUUUAUAAGGGAAUAAAGUGUGGGACGUGUCCUAUUUUGUAUGUACCUUAUGAAUAAGGAUCGGCUAACUCCGUGCCAGCAGCCGCGGUAAUACGGAGGAUCCGAGCGUUAUCCGGAUUUAUUGGGUUUAAGGGGUGCGUAGGCGGCCUUUUAAGUCAGCGGUGAAAGUCUGUGGCUCAACCAUAGAAUUGCCGGUGAAAAUGGGGGGCUUGAGUAUGUUUGAGGCAGGCGGAAGGCGUGGUGUAGCGGUGAAAUGCUUAGAUAGCACGCAGAACCCCGAUUGCGAAGGCAGCCUGCCAAGCCAUGACUGACGCUGAUGCACGAAAGCGUGGGGAGCAAACAGGAUUAGAUACCCUAGUAGUC